rnacentral:antisense_RNA from 1 species
AAAAAUGCACCCUCAUCUACCCAAUUCUGCCCUACCCUUUGGAGCUCCUGGACCCUCUAACCGCUCGGUGGGGUCAGAGCCCACCCCCGGAAGGGCUGCUGGUCGGGGACUGGUUCGCCCUCUCCUGGCCUCCUCGGACCAGCGCGCGGGGAGGAUCCCGCUAACGCCGGGCGCCUGCAGACCUUGAGCGGCCUCGCCCUGGUGACCUCCCCGGGAAAGGCUGGGCGGUGCUUCCACAAUGAGGGCCACCUGUUAAUUUGCACGAGAAAGUGCUGCCGAGGGCCCACACGUGCGAAUCCACCUGUGGAGUGCGUCCCCUCUCUGGGGCCAAGGCCUAGGGGAGGCCGAAGCGGAGAAGUUGCCGGAAGACUGGGAAGUAAGAGUAGGGGCGUCGGAGGAAUCGAAGUUGCAGUGACAUCAGGCUCGGACAGCCGGCGGACUCCUCGCAAGGCCUCAAACUUCUUCAUGGGAAAAAAUGGCUUCUCUUUUUUAAUUGAAUGAACUAGAAGAAGUUCAUUGUUAUUCAUCAACUUCAAAGAGACUAUAUGAGGCCCCUUGGCCAGGACUACAGAGCAGUAUUUUUUAAUCAGAAAUUAUGGCCAAAAAGAAGAGACCAGAACACAUGGCAGCCUGCAUGGACUAAGACAAGCUCAUUUUCUGGAAAGUCUUGAACAAAGUACUUGAAAACACAAAGAUAAAUG